rnacentral:rRNA from 1 species
CGCUGGCGGCGUGCCUAACACAUGCAAGUCGAACGGGGUAAAUUGCUUCGGUGAUUUACUUAGUGGCGAACGGGUGAGUAACGCGUGAGAAACCUGCCUUUCAGUGGGGGACAACAGUUGGAAACGACUGCUAAUACCGCAUAAUGUACACGGACCGCAUGAUCUGUGUACCAAAGCUUUAUGUGCUGAAAGAUGGUCUCGCGUCUGAUUAGCUAGAUGGCGGGGUAACGGCCCACCAUGGCGACGAUCAGUAGCCGGUCUGAGAGGAUGAACGGCCACAUUGGGACUGAGAUACGGCCCAGACUCCUACGGGAGGCAGCAGUGGGGAAUAUUGCACAAUGGGGGAAACCCUGAUGCAGCAACGCCGCGUGAAGGAUGAAGGUUUUCGGAUCGUAAACUUCUAUCAACAGGGAAGAAAAAAUGACGGUACCUGAAUAAGAAGCCCCGGCUAACUACGUG